UACAGAGACUGCAAGCGUUAUUCGAUUCACUGGGCGUAAAGGGUGCGCAGGCGGCCGUGUGUGUGAGGCGUGAAAGCCUGGAGCUUAACUCCAGAAUUGCACCUCAAACUACACGGCUAGAGCAUUGGAGAGGGUAGCAGAAUUCACGGUGUAGCAGUGAAAUGCGUAGAUAUCGUGAGGAAUACCAGAGGCGAAGGCGGCUACCUGGACAAUUGCUGACGCUCAGGCACGAAAGCGUGGGGAGCAAAAGGG
rnacentral:rRNA from 1 species